UCAAUUGAUAGAAAAUUAGUUGAUAUUUUUACCAAACUCCUUAGUGAAGAUAGAUUUAGCAAUGAUUAGUGAAGAAUUGGGGCUUUGUGAUCCUUUUAGUCAAGCCUUUAGUCUAAGAGCCCUUGAUUUACAUCCAUCUCUUGUUAAUUGAUUUGAUUUCAUCUCUAAUUGAUCAAAAUUUUAAUUGAUUAUUUCCAUUGGAUCUAACCCUCUUAAAGCCAACUCCUAAUCUGAGGAGUCGAUUUGUUGGACUGAGGGAGAGCUAUGAGUCAACUUCCUCGUGAAGGGGAGUCAGCUCAUGCUGUUAAGCUGAGGAGUCAACUAGUGGAUUGGUCGAGUCAAUCCAAAUGUCGAGACAUGAGAAUAUAACCUGAUCUAUCUCGAAUCAAUCGAAUUCUAUUUUUUUUCCUCUCUGACCAAAGCUCCAUCAAAGAUCUCUCCCUUCCAAAUUCAACCUCUCAAAUCCCUUUUCAACCCAUUUUUGUGGAAGAUUGAGUCCCCAAAUGACUCUUCGAAAGAAAAUUAUAUAAAUAUAUUAAAUAGGUUUGAACUCAAGAAAGAUUGGAGCACCACUUGAAACAACAGUCCAACCCUCAUCUGCCACC
rnacentral:lncRNA from 1 species